GGGGAAGCCAUAGUUAGGGUUUUCAAGCUUCCAAGCUCCAUAAUCAAGAAGAACGAAACUCGAGGUUAGACAAAGGGAAGAAUAAAGUUGAAGACUAAGUUGUUGAAUUGGACUAUAUUUGAUACCGAGUAUUGCAAAGCUACUUCAAGGAUCCUAAAGAAGUCGGAGAUCGUCCACACUAUCAACCACAACUGCUCGGUAUUUUAUAUCGAAUCACGUUUGAGUUAUGGCAUGUAUAGGGAUUUAGUUAUUUUGUAUGUUUGUG